rnacentral:lncRNA from 10 species
AAUGGCGUGAUCUUGGCUCACGGCAACCUCCGCCUCCCUGGAUCAAGAGAUUCUCCUGCCUCAGCCUCCGAAGUAGCUAGUGUUACAAGCGUCCGCCACCACGCCCAGCUAAUUUUUGUAUUUUUAGUAGAGAUGGGGUUUUGCCAUGUUGGCCAGGGUGGUCUCGAACUCCUGACCUCAGAUCAUCUCCCCGCCUUGGCCUUCGAGAGUGCUGGCAUUAUAGGUGUUAGCCACCGCACCCAGCCUAGAGCUGCCAUUCUUACUGAGUAAGUAAACAUCAUUGGAAGAUUUCCUUAUCUUAUUCUCCAACAUUUGUGCAUGCUAUGAGUUAUGGAGCAACCGUCUAACUACACACAUAGAGUGUGAGGGUUAAUAUUAAGUGUCAACUUGAUUGGACUUAAGGAUGCAAAGUAUUGAUCCUGGGUGUGUCUGUGAGAUUGCCAAAGGAGAUUAACAUUUGAGUCAGUGGACUGGGAAAGACAGACGUACCCUCUAUUUGGGUGGAUGCCAUCUAAUCAACUCCCAGCGGGGCUAGAAUAAGGCAGGCACAAGAAGUGGGAGAAGCCAGCUUGCUGAGUCUUCUGGCCUUCAUCUUUCCCGCGUUGGAUGCUUCCUGCCCUCAAACAUCAGACUCAGAGUUCUUCAGGUUUUGGACUCUGGGACUUACAUUUGGACUCUCCGACUUACACCAGUGGUUUGCCAGGGACUCUCAGGCCUUCGACCACAGACAGAAGGCUGCACCGUUGGCUUCCCUACUUUUGAGGUUUUGGGACUGGGACUGGCUUCCUUGCUGCUCAGCUUGCAGAUGGCCUGUUGCGGAAAAUCACCUUGUGAUCAUGAGUCAAUACUCCUUAAUAAACUCCCCAUCGUAUAUCCAUCUACCCUGUUUGUUCUGUCCCUCUAGAGAACCCUGACUAAUACAUAGAGGAA